GGGCUGGUAGUUCAGAGGAAGAACGAUUCAUUUGCAGUGAAUAGGCCGGGGGUUCGAGUCCCCCCCAGUCCACCA
rnacentral:tRNA from 1 species